GAAAUUUUUUUUCCACCCAAGCAAAGGGAAGGAAAACAAAUCUGUUACUUAACAUUUCUAGACGUAAAUAUUUGGGGUGGGAGAAAGAAAUAGCCACUUAUCUUCUACUUUGGAUGGGACAAAUAUAAACAUAUCUUCUUUGAAAGAGUCAUCUAGGCAUUAUUCUGCAUUCUAGCAUUAAGGAAAACGUUACUUGAUUGCGUCUUUUCCCAGGAAUGGGUAGGCUGGUCUGGUGGUUUGGAAAACAUACAACUAAGUAUCUAUUUUUUAAUUAUUAUUCUUUUUUUCAUCUCUCCCUGUCUGCCACAAACAAACAAACAAAAAAAUCAAUAUAAAAGGAAAUUUUUUUUCCACCCAAGCAAAGGGAAGGAAAACAAAUCUGUUACUUAACAUUUCUAGACGUAAAUAUUUGGGGUGGGAGAAAGAAAUAGCCACUUAUCUUCUACUUUGGAUGGGACAAAUAUAAACAUAUCUUCUUUGAAAGAGUCAUCUAGGCAUUAUUCUGCAUUCUAGCAUUAAGGAAAACGUUACUUGAUUGCGUCUUUUCCCAGGAAUGGGUAGGCUGGUCCGGUGGUUUGGAAAACAUACAAGUAAGUAUCUAUUUUUUAAUUAUUAUUCUUUUUUUCCAGAGACCACUGCCGUUUUCUAUUUGAGUGACGGCCAGACUUAGAAAGGAUAAGACACCACGAGACAAAAUCUUCUCAGAGGGGUUUUUCUGCUGCUGGAAAUAGGAAAAGAAACCUUGUUUGCAUGAAGGUGGUGUCAGAUGAUGAAGGAUCAGACUGGAAGAAGAGCCAGGACACCACCCCCAGUCACCUACACUUUGUGACCCUGGCCUUGCUGCUUCACCUUCUCCUCCCAGCCCUUCACCUCUCGCACGCCAAAAGUCCUUGCCAUUUGGGGUCUGGUACCAGUUUGCCUGCCUUGGCAUCCUUAGGGCUCCCACUCCCCAUCCUGCUCUGUUGAGCAGCCGAGGCCACCACAGCAGCUGGAUGUCCAUGGGGUGGCUGAGAACCAUCACCCUACACGUGAGGACAUCCUCCUCUGCACCAUCAACACCCAAGUCUUUUGCACAACCCAUCCAAAACACCCAACAGUGCCUCUACAGCCGGCACAGG
rnacentral:lncRNA from 1 species